AAGAAAGUGACAGAUUGGAGAUGUGAUUGGCUUGAAACCAGUUUAUGAGGGUUCAAUUCCCUCCUUUCUCG
rnacentral:tRNA from 1 species